rnacentral:misc_RNA from 1 species
CAUGGCGUCAGGAAUGUGGG